GAUGAACGCUAGCGGCAGGCCUAAUACAUGCAAGUCGAACGGUAAGGCCCUUUCGGGGGUACACGAGUGGCGGACGGGUGCGUAACGCGUAUGCAACAUGCCUUCCAGCGGGGGAUAUACCAGGGAAACUUGGCGCAAUACCCCAUAGAAUUACGGGACCGCAUGGUCUUGUGAUUAAAACUCCGGUGCUGGGAGAUUGGCAUGCGUGACAUUAGCUAGUUGGCGGGGUAACGGCCCACCAAGGCGACGAUGUCUAGCUGGUCUGAGAGGAUGAUCAGCCACACUGGGACUGAGACACGGCCCAGACUCCUACGGGAGGCAGCAGUAGGGAAUAUUGGACAAUGGGCGCAAGCCUGAUCCAGCCAUGCCGCGUGCGGGAAGAAGGCCUCGGUGUAACG
rnacentral:rRNA from 1 species